AUUGAACGCUGGCGGCAUGCCUUACACAUGCAAGUCGAACGGUAACGGGCCUUCGGGUGCCGACGAGUGGCGAACGGGUGAGUAAUGUAUCGGAACGUACCUUUCAGUGGGGGAUAACGUAGCGAAAGUUACGCUAAUACCGCAUAUUCUGUGAGCAGGAAAGCAGGGGAACGCAAGACCUUGCGCUGAUUGAGCUGCCGAUAUCAGAUUAGCUAGUGGGUGAGGUAAAGGCUCACCAAGGCGACGAUCUGUAGCGGGUCUGAGAGGAUGAUCCGCCACACUGGAACUGAGACACGGUCCAGACUCCUACGGGAGGCAGCAGUGGGGAAUUUUGGACAAUGGGGGCAACCCUGAUCCAGCCAUGCCGCGUGAGUGAAGAAGGCCUUCGGGUUGUAAAGCUCUUUCGGCCGGGAAGAAAUCGCACAGGUUAAUACCUUGUGUGGAUGACGGUACCGGAAUAAGAAGCACCGGCUAACUACGUGCCAGCAGCCGGCCGUAACAC
rnacentral:rRNA from 1 species